AUGAACGCUGGCGGCGUGCCUAAUACAUGCAAGUCGAGCGAACAGACGAGGAGCUUGCUCCCCUGACGUUAGCGGCGGACGGGUGAGUAACACGUGGGUAACCUACCUAUAAGACUGGGAUAACUUCGGGAAACCGGAGCUAAUACCGGAUAAUAUAUUUAACCGCAUGGUUCAAUAGUGAAAGACGGUUUUGCUGUUACUUAAAGAUGGAUCCGCGCCGCAUUAGCUAGUUGGUAAGGUAACGGCUUACCAAGGCAACGAUGCGUAGCCGACCUGAGAGGGUGAUCGGCCACACUGGAACUGAGACACGGUCCAGACUCCUACGGGAGGCAGCAGUAGGGAAUCUUCCGCAAUGGGCGAAAGCUUGACGGAGCAACGCCGCGUGAGUGAUGAAGGUCUUCGGAUCGUAAAACUCUGUUAUUAGGGAAGAACAAAUGUGUAAGUAACUAUGCACGUCUUGACGGUACCUAAUCAGAAAGCCACGGCUAACUACGUG
rnacentral:rRNA from 1 species